rnacentral:rRNA from 1 species
AACGAACGCUGGCGGCAGGCUUAACACAUGCAAGUCGAACGCCCCGCAAGGGGAGUGGCAGACGGGUGAGUAACGCGUGGGAAUCUACCUUGAUCUGCGGGAUAGCUCCGGGAAACUGGAAUUAAUACCGCAUAUGUCCUGAGGGACAAAGAUUCAUCGGUUCAGGAUGAGCCCGCGUCCGAUUAGCUAGUUGGUGGGGUAAAGGCCUACCAAGGCGACGAUCGGUAGCUGGUCUGAGAGGAUGAUCAGCCACACUGGGACUGAGACACGGCCCAGACUCCUACGGGAGGCAGCAGUGGGGAAUAUUGGACAAUGGGCGAAAGCCUGAUCCAGCCAUGCCGCGUGAGUGAUGAAGGCCCUAGGGUUGUAAAGCUCUUUCACCGGUGAAGAUAAUGACGGUAACCGGAGAAGAAGCCCCGGCUAACUUCGUGCCAGCCGCCGCGGUAA